AGCACGUUAUGGUGGGCGACUCUAAGGAGACUGCCGGUGGACAACCGGAGGAAGGUGGGGAGUGACGUCAAGUCAUCAUGGCCCUUACGGCCUGGGCUACACACGUGCUACAAUGGUCGGUCAAAGGGUUGCCAAGCCGCGAGGUGGAGCUAAUCCCAUAAAACCGAUCGUAGUCCGGAUCGCAGUCUGCAACUCGACUGCGUGAAGUCGGAAUCGCUAGUAAUCGUGAAUCAGAAUGUCACGGUGAAUACGUUCCCGGGCCUU
rnacentral:rRNA from 1 species